rnacentral:rRNA from 1 species
GAGGGGGAUAACAUUCGGAAACGGAUGCUAAAACCGCAUAGGUCCUUUAACCGCAUGGUUGAAGGAGGAAAAGAGGCGCAAGCUUCUGCUGAUGGAUGGACCCGCGGUGCAUUAGCUAGUUGGUGAGGUAACGGCUCACCAAGGCCGUGAUGCAUAGCCGACCUGAGAGGGUGAUCGGCCACAUUGGGACUGAGACACGGCCCAA